UAGCUAGUUGGUGAGGUAAAGGCUUACCAAGGCGACGAUCUGUAGCGGGUCUGAGAGGAUGAUCCGCCACACUGGAACUGAGACACGAUCCAGACUCCUACGGGAGGCAGCAGUGGGGAAUUUUGGACAAUGGGGGCAACCCUGAUCCAGCCAUGCCGCGUGAGUGAAGAAGGCCUUCGGGUUGUAAAGCUCUUUCGGCCGGGAAGAAAUCGCAUGGGCCAAUACCCUGUGUGGAUGACGGUACCGGAAUAAGAAGCACCGGCUAACUACGUGCCAGCAGCCGGGGUAAUACGUAGGGUGCGAGCGUUAAUCGGAAUUACUGGGCGUAAAGCGUGCGCAGGCGGUUUUGUAAGACAGGCGUGAAAUCCCCGGGCUUAACCUGGGAACUGCGUUUGUGACUGCAAGGCUAGAGUACGGCAGAGGGGGGUGGAAUUCCACGUGUAGCAGUGAAAUGCGUAGAGAUGUGGAGGAACACCAAUGGCGAAGGCAGCCCCCUGGGUCGAUACUGACGCUCAUGCACGAAAGCGUGGGUAGCAAACAGGAUUAGAUACCCUGGUAGUCCACGCCCUAAACUAUGUCAACUAGGUGUUGGGUGGGUAAAACCAUUUAGUACCGUAGCUAACGCGUGAAGUUGACCGCCUGGGGAGUACGGCCGCAAGGCUAAAACUCAAAGGAAUUGACGGGGACCCGCACAAGCGGUGGAUGAUGUGGAUUAAUUCGAUUCAACGCGAAAAACCUUACCUACCCUUGACAUGCCAGGAACUUGCCAGAGAUGGCUUGGUGCCCGAAAGGGAGCCUGGACACAGGUGCUGCAUGGCUGUCGUCAGCUCGUGUCGUGAGAUGUUGGGUUAAGUCCCGCAACGAGCGCAACCCUUGUCGUUAAUUGCCAUCAUUUAGUUGGGCACUUUAACGAGACUGCCGGUGACAAACCGGAGGAAGGUGGGGAUGACGUCAAGUCCUCAUGGCCCUUAUGGGUAGGGCUUCACACGUCAUACAAUGGUCGGUACAAAGGGUUGCCAAGCCGCGAGGCGGAGCCAAUCCCAGAAAGCCGAUCGUAGUCCGGAUUGCAGGCUGCAACUCGCCUGCAUGAAGUCGGAAUCGCUAGUAAUCGUGGAUCAGCAAGUCACGGUGAAUACGUUCCCGGGUCUUGUACACACCGCCCGUCACACCAUGGGAGCGGGUUCCGCCAGAAGUAGGUAGCCUAACCGCAAGGGGGGCGCUUACCACGGCGGGGUUCGUGACUGGGGUGAAGUCGUAACAAGGUAGCCGUAGGGGAACCU
rnacentral:rRNA from 1 species